rnacentral:rRNA from 1 species
GAACGCCUGUAGCAAUACAGGAGUGGCGGACGGGUGAGUAACGCGUGGGAACCUGCCCUUGGGUGCGGGACAACUUCGGGAAACCGGAGCUAAUACCGCAUGGUCCCGGGAAACCGGGUAAAGAUUUAUCGCCUGAGGAGGGGCCCGCGUCGGAUUAGGUAGUUGGUGGGGUAACGGCCUACCAAGCCUGUGAUCCGUAGCUGGUCUGAGAGGAUGAUCAGCCACACUGGGACUGAGACACGGCCCAGACUCCUACGGGAGGCAGCAGUGGGGAAUAUUGGACAAUGGGCGCAAGCCUGAUCCAGCCAUGCCGCGUGAGUGAUGAAGGCCUUAGGGUUGUAAAGCUCUUUCGGCGGGGACGAUGAUGACGGUACCCGCAGAAGAAGCCCCGGCUAACUUCGUG